rnacentral:lncRNA from 10 species
UGUGCUAGGCAGAACAAGAUGUAAAAUCCUUUGCAUUCUGGAUCAGCUUGGGAUUUUAGAAAAUCCAAUACAAUAAUAUUUGUUACCCUUACAACAACUUCUUCUCAUGGCAGGGAAAUUCUUUCUCUCUCUACCUACCAUAAAUGAUGCUUUUUAAUUUCUCUUAGAGCUAGGAAAUCUCAUGAUUUUAGGGUGACAGAAAUAUCUAAAUUAAUCUCUUUUAUUUGGUGGGUUUUUCUUUUUUUUUUCUUUUUCUUUUUUCUUUUUUUUUGUUUUUACUGUAGAAAAUCCAGCAUAACUGACUGACAAAAUGUUUUAAAGCCAAACAAGUCCAUUUUGUGUUUUAGAUUUCAGCCUUCCAAGUUCUGAUGUAACAAACAACUUAAAACCCAGUCUUCAUCCACAGAUGAACUUGCUAGCCUUGGAGAAUACAGAGAUACCCCCGUUUGCCCAAAGGACCAGCCAAAACCUCACCUCAAGCCACGCAUAUGAUAAUGUAAGUAACAAAACUCUUUUCUAGCAGUGCAUCUAGUCAGC